rnacentral:rRNA from 1 species
GAUGAACGCUGACAGAAUGCUUAACACAUGCAAGUCUACUUGAUCCUUCGGGUGAUGGUGGCGGACGGGUGAGUAACGCGUAAAGAACUUGCCCUGCAGUCUGGGACAACAUUUGGAAACGAAUGCUAAUACCGGAUAUUAUGUAUUUCUCGCAUGAGUUUUACAUGAAAGCUAUAUGCGCUGCAGGAGAGCUUUGCGUCCUAUUAGCUAGUUGGUGAGGUAACGGCUCACCAAGGCCAUGAUAGGUAGCCGGCCUGAGAGGGUGAACGGCCACAAGGGGACUGAGACACGGCCCUUACUCCUACGGGAGGCAGCAGUGGGGAAUAUUGGACAAUGGACCAAAAGUCUGAUCCAGCAAUUCUGUGUGCACGAUGAAGUUUUUCGGAAUGUAAAGUGCUUUCAGUUGGGACGAAGUAAGUGACGGUACCAACAGAAGAAGCGACGGCUAAAUACGUGCCAGCAGCCGCGGUAAUACGUAUGUCGCAAGCGUUAUCCGGAUUUAUUGGGCGUAAAGCGCGUCUAGGCGGUUUGGUAAGUCUGAUGUGAAAAUGCGGGGCUCAACUCCGUAUUGCGUUGGAAACUGCUAAACUAGAGUACUGGAGAGGUGGGCGGAACUACAAGUGUAGAGGUGAAAUUCGUAGAUAUUUGUAGGAAUGCCGAUGGGGAAGCCAGCCCACUGGACAGAUACUGACGCUAAAGCGCGAAAGCGUGGGUAGCAAACAGG